rnacentral:tRNA from 1 species
GCCAUUCUAGUAUAGUGGUUAGUACAGCUCGUUGUGGCCGAGCAGACCCANNGUUCGAUUCCUGGGAAUGGCA